CCUCGCCUCUCCUCCUCCUCUGCGCACCAACCCAGCUUCGAAACCUCACUACAACGCCCAGAUGUCGCACCUCCCCCGCGCAGUGCCGGAGCUCAGCGCUCGAAGGCCACGCACCGCCUGCCUUCGGGAAAGAUCAAGCGACCCCCCUCCCCCCCCCCCCCCGGUCCUCAUCCAUCCAGUAGGAGGAGCACUGUACUUCCGGUCCGGUCCAGCGGUUGAAAUGACGAGAUCUGACGGUGUGGCACGGGCCGGUGCUGCUAAAGGCGGGGAGAAGGACGAAUCCAAUGGCGGGGAGCUAAUUUGGCUAGCGGGAGACGAGGAACCGGCGCCGGCCGUCGGUAGAUGUCGAAUCGGCGGCGGCAGGCAGGAGCUCAUCCCUGGUGCGCAGCAGGAAAGGGGCGGAGAAAAAAAUAUAGGGCACCCCGGUCGUCUUAUAUACCCGUCGCUGCAAGCUCGACGCGGCGUUCCCCGCGCCUAGGCGGCCGCCCAGCGCGCGCAGCCCGCCUACGCGCGCUUAAUCGCGCCUAGGACCGCCUAAUCCCGUCGCCUUGGGUGUAGGCGACGCGGUCACCGGGCGCUUAGCGCGUAGGCGGGCUAGGCGGCCGCUUUUUUAAACACUGGGUGCUCAUGGCCAAAUUUGGCCCCGCUCAAGCUGUGGAGAGGCAGCCUCAUUUGAUGGCGACGAAGAGAAGCCUGAUGGUAGCGGGUCUACUGUGGCUUCAUUUGGUGUGUGGCGAUUGUAAAUCUGAGAGGAUGAGGGUAGAUGAUGGGGGUGUCGGGAAAAGAAUUUUGACAGGGAGGAGAUUAGGACAAUAAAAUGUAAGGUUAUUGUUCGUUCGUGAUUUUUUAUCUAGUUUUAUGUUAAGAGUUGUUUAGAGAGAUAGAUGGGGGAGGUAGGAGGGGGUGAUGUACAAUCAGUCACCAAUUCAGCCUUUUAUACCAGAAAGAUCCAUUCAAUAUUCAUGCUGUUACUCUAGCGAGGUAAAUAAUCUCAUGGAUUUUUCACUUGUUUCUGCAAGCUGCUUUUUGUAGAAUGAUUCAACUAUUUUUUAGCCACCUCUUUCUUAUGUCACAGACUGGCAUUAAGAAGCUACCUGUUAGUCAUUUUAUGAGCAGAGUUUUGACAAAGAUUACCGUAUUUUUAAUACUUGGUCCUUUUUUGGGGCAUCCUGUUUUUGCCAGUAUAUCUAAAUAAUUUUGCCUUUUGCUUUUGCUCCUUGUAAGCCCACGAUAUGCAUUGAGAGAAAGAAAUCACUGAAUCGUGAUAAAGGUGCCGACCACAAAUAUGAGACUUCAAAUACGACGGUAAUAUACAGUCAUUCAAUGUGUAUAUUUGAAACUAAAAACAGUUUGAUGCUAACUCUUAUAGUAUAAGAACAGGCAGUGAACAAAACUCGUAAAGGAUCAGCUGGUGUCGUGCCUUCAAUGAUGCUCCUGAAUACAUUUUAGGAAAUGCAUGUUUCAUAUACUCAGGAUGCACCUUUGAUGACUGAAGAUAUGCAUGAAGAAAGGCUCCAUGCAGCUGAAUCUUUUGGUAAUGCCAUUGGUCUAUCAGGUCAAUUGGAAAGGGAUAUAUUAUCGUCCGAUAUGUCUGCUUUUAAAGCUGCAAACCCAGACGCUGUCUUUGAAGAUUUUAUUCGGUGGCAUUCACCCGGUGACUGGGUGGGUGAGGACAAAGCUGAUGGUAACUCAGGCUGGCCUCCCAAAGGAUAGCUUUCUCAACGUAUGUCUGAACAUGGGAAUGUGUGGCACAAAAUCUGGAAUGAUGCUCCAGCAUUGCCUGUCUCCGAACAGAAGUUUCUGCUUGAUCCCGUUCAGGAAGGAGAGAAGGAAUUCACAACUAAGGAAAAGGUGGGGAUGCAUGAGAGAGAGAGAUGCUGUAUCAAACCUGUUUCCUCCCCCUACUGCUAAUCAGUCAUGGAGGGAAGUUUUGAGCAUGAGAAAUCUUUUGAACGGCCAUGAACCCAUGCAAAGGGAAAUCAUAUUCUCGGUCCAGGAGAGAAUAAGCAAUGGUCACUAUUCGAGCCCAACCCCAUUAUGUACAGAUGAUGAACAAAUCCAGACACAUAGGAUGUAUAUAUCUGGGACAUCUAAUGAUAUUUGGGCUGCAUUGUCUGACAUCCUGGGAUUGACCUUCACAUAUGUAUAGGGUGCAAUGGUGCAGAGAUCUACCAAUUUAUAGGUGCAUUGUUUUUUGGAUGUACCGGAGCAUUGUAUCAGGACACAGCAACGAUGAACAAUACUCUGGUGGUGGCUUGCGGGUAAGCACAAUGUUGACAUCAAACCAAAGUAUCAAUUCCUCAUUCAUAAAACUAGUACUGGGAUCUACAUGAAGGCAGGGAUGGAUUGACGUCUUGUGGCAAUCAGAAGUUUCUUGAGAGUUUACAAGCGCUGUGCCGGGAGCAUUGGGUGAAUUCUUUGAUUUGGCUUUGGUGUGAAUGGUGGACUUGCAAGUGGCAAUUUACAUGAAGAUGAUGAACUUGAUACUUGUUUUACUUGUCAUCUUCUAUCAUCAACACUGUAGCAGUACUGCAUCACUGGAUACAAGAUCUGUUGGAGAUGAAUUUCUAGUGCUACAGUGCACCGUAAAGUACUGUAGUACUGGAAUUUGCAGAUUUGGAGACUCCGUUGGAGAUGGCCUAAUGUGAUACCGAUGAAGAUGUACUAGGAACCCAUUGGUUGUCUUGUUUUCCUUGUGUAGUGUGACAUGGGGCGUGGGAUACCAAUUUUCAUCUCGGUGGCUCAUUACGCGAAGACUUGUGUUCAUACUUCAUACAAAAGAGAGAACUCUGCCGUCCCUAGUAAAUUUUGCCCAUGACAAACAAACGUCUCUUCCAAUUUGCCAUGCCCUUGGGCCUUGGCAAUGCAGAUUUGUCCCUUUGAGGCUUUAAGGGACUUCCUACUGAACAAAAGAACUUCAGAAUUUCUAAGCAAAAUACUUUGCUCCAAACGAAGCCUCACGUUCCAGGCACAGUUUAGGGCUCCAAGCACGCGGUGGUACCACCACUCAACAAUGGGAAAGCAUAGCAAGUGCAGCAGCCGGCAGUCAAUUGAUACUCGCCUCCAAGCAAAGAGUAAAGCAGAUCAGAAUGUAAUUAGGCGGCAAAACAACUUAGUUUGUUAUCACUACCUGGGCAGGCAUGGAUGGAUCUACAACCCCCCAUAA